rnacentral:lncRNA from 1 species
GGGGGAGUCGCCUCGUCUCGGAGGGACCCGCGGCCGUGGCGCUACGGGGGGAGCGGGGCGGCGCCUGGAGCCCACGGUCUCCUCACAGGAGGCUGUGGGCAGGGGGCAUGGAGCUGGGGGCAGCCCGAAUUAGGCUGCGGGGAGCUGCUGAGGGCACCCCUCGUGCCUCUUCCCUUUCAUAACUCAGUUAUUUUUAGUGGUAACAGGAUUCCUGGGGGACCUCUGUAGCGGGUGGGCCCAGGUUUCUCCUGUGGACUUCGUAGCAAUUCACCUCAGGAUUGUUUAACACAGCAACUUUCUCAGCAAAAGCACUGUAUUGCAGGGCCUAUUUUAGAAGUUACAUACUUACAAAUGGUUAUAAUGCAGCCUCUGGGUACGGCUCACACAUUCAUACGCUAAAAGGGGAAAAAGAACAGCACUUUUUUCCUUUUAAAAUCUCCUUCCACUCAUCUUCUCAUCCAGUAUCUUAUUUUCUUUCCAGGCCACACAAUAUUUCAAACCCUCUCCUCAGCCCAGACACAGAGAUUGCAGCAGAAAUUAUCUUCUUUUCACAGGCCUGGUGAACCACUGACAAGGCCGGAGAAAUUAGCAAGGAGGUUCUGCGAUUGGGAGCUGGAAUUGAUGGUGUCAGAGAUAGAUGGGGAAAACUGGCUGGUGCAGCCCCCAUUCAUCGGGCUUACUGACAGCACAUACAGAAUUAUAUCGGUUUCAUCUGUGGAUUUCAGAAGGGCCUGGGAGGGCUUUUAAGGCCCUGGAAUGGUCUGUGGUCUCUGACCUUCCAAUGGACCAUGUGAGAAGGGAUGAGCCUCCCAGGGAAAAUCUGAAACACGUUGUUCUAGUAGAGAUACACAGCCUAUUCCCAGCACAUUAG